AGCGCAGGCGGGAAACUAAGCGGAUCUUAAAAGUGCGGGGCUCAACCCCGUGAUGGGUCCGAACUGGUUUUCUUGAGUGCAGGAGAGGAAAGCGGAAUUCCCAGUGUAGCGGUGAAAUGCGUAGAUAUUGGGAAGAACACCAGUGGCGAAGGCGGCUUUCUGGACUGUAACUGACGCUGAGGCUCGAAAGCUAGGGUAGCGAAG
rnacentral:rRNA from 1 species